UCAAAAUAUCAAAGUAUUAACAUGAUGAGUAAAAGGGAUGUGAGUAUAAAUACCAUAUAGUCCUUUGCCAUUUCUUGCAGCACACAAGCCGUGUCCAAUAAAACAUAUCCCCGAAAAAAGGAACAACAACCUACUAUUGUGUUGGACUAUGCAAGAGGCAUAUGGAUUUAAUGCAUGGGGUGAUCAUGCUAAUUACCAUCAUGGCCAUGAUGAUGGUCAUAGAUCAAGGGAUUGUAAGCCGCCACCAUAUGGUCUACAAGAAUCACUUGAAAUGAAUGUAUGGGGGAGGGAACAUCCGCAUCAUGCUCCUUAUGAUUGCGAAGGUGGUGGUAAUAGACACACCCAUGUCAGCGGUAAUGGUUACUAUGGCCAUAAUGAUCACCAUGUGAUGCAUGCUAGUGGUGGUUAUGGACAUGGUUAUUAUCAUUAACAACGUUUCAUACAAGUGUGCAUGACGACCAUUAAAAUUUAUAGUGUUCUUAAGAAUGAAGUAGUCUAUGUUAUUACUAGUUUACUACUUCAUAGUUUGGGGCAUAUGUACGUGGAGGAUUGGUAUCCUAUUGUUAAAAAUUAAUAAAUAAAGAGAUAGAAUUGAAUAUUUUGUCAUAUGUAGUUUGUACUCUACCAAGGUUAAGUAUAAACUACCUCUUCUCUUAUGGUUAUGAUCCAAUCCAACUUUGUCAAGAUGGUUUCAUCAUUCAAAGUUAGUUUAUCAAGGUGCUAUCUGCAUGCUUAUUUAUUUUCUAGGGAGAAGUGGGGAUUAUGUAUAUGUAAUUACACUAGGUUGUGGGUUAUGUCUUAACCCCUCUUGUUUUAAUAGGGACGCUCCAUUUAAACCUUACCAACAACCGAGAGCAAAAUAUCAUGGUUAAUUGUAUCGUUCGCAUUGUCAGUAAGGGUUACAAUUUCAUCCUCCUUUGUAAUUGUCAAAUUCAAACACCGUUGAAUAAGAUCAUCAACCAUGAGGCUGUAAUCAACCCCAACGAGGGACGAUGGUCACAUCUCAUGAAACGUCAAGUAAAACACUCAAACCCUACCAGAGCACGGGAUCUACUCUUUCUUUUAAGCAAAUUCGUACUUCGGAUAUGAUCAAUUUGAAAAAAUAUUAAGUGAAAGUAUCGGGUCGGACCGUCUGACCAAUGCUUACUGUCAGAUGGGCUAAGCCCAAAACUAGUUCUCGUCACUGAUGCUGCCAAUUCUCUUUCCCUCGCUCUUCAGGAUGGCAAACUUCGCGUAGAAAUUGAUUUCCCACCUCUACCCAGCGAUAUUUCUUCUUACUGGCGUAUUUUACGUGAAACGGUAUCGUACUGGUUUCUGAACAUCUUCCACAAUUUUGAUUCUUUUUUUCAGUUAAUGCUUAUAAUGGUUCAGUUGAUGUUUUUUUUUUAUUUCAGCUGAUGUCUUUCACUUGUUUUUUACAGUUUCAGUUAAUUGAUUUAUUAUUUCAGUUCA